rnacentral:pre_miRNA from 1 species
AGUAGAAUUGCUGUCACAUGGUAACUAUGUUUAACAUUUUGAGGAACUUCCAAACUGUUUUCCAAAACAGCUGCACCAUUUUAUAUUCCCACCAGCAAU